rnacentral:rRNA from 1 species
AGUGAACGCUGGCGGCAGGCCUAACACAUGCAAGUCGAACGGCAGCACAGGGGAGCUUGCUCCCUGGGUGGCGAGUGGCGGACGGGUGAGGAAUACAUCGGAAUCUGCCCUGUCGUGGGGGAUAACGUAGGGAAACUUACGCUAAUACCGCAUACGACCUUCGGGUGAAAGAGGGGGAUCGCAAGACCUCUCGCGAUUGGAUGAGCCGAUGUCGGAUUAGCUAGUUGGCGGGGUAAAGGCCCACCAAGGCGACGAUCCGUAGCUGGUCUGAGAGGAUGAUCAGCCACACUGGAACUGAGACACGGUCCAGACUCCUACGGGAGGCAGCAGUGGGGAAUAUUGGACAAUGGGCGCAAGCCUGAUCCAGUCAUGCCGCGUGAGUGAAGAAGGCCUUCGGGUUGUAAAGCUCUUUUGUCCGGAAAGAAAAGCUUCCGAUUAAUACUCGGGAGUCAUGACGGUACCGGAAGAAUAAGCACCGGCUAACUUCGUGCCAGCCGCCGCAGUAACAC